GCACCCGUAGCUCAAUUGGAUAGAGCAUCGGUCUACGGAACCGAAGGUUAGAGGUUCGAGUCCUCUCGGGUGUACCA
rnacentral:tRNA from 1 species